rnacentral:rRNA from 1 species
UACGGAGGGUGCAAGCGUUGUCCGGAUUUAUUGGGUUUAAAGGGUGCGUAGGCGGCCCAUUAAGUCCGUGGUGAAAGCCAACAGCUCAACUGUUGAACUGCCAUGGAUACUGAUGGGCUUGAGUACAGACGAGGUAGGCGGAAUGGAUGCUGUAGCGGUGAAAUGCAUAGAUAGCAUCCAGAACCCCGAUUGCGUAGGCAGCUCGCUUGGCCGAAACUGACGCUCAUGCACGAAAGCGUGGGGAGCAAACAGG